rnacentral:rRNA from 1 species
UACAGAGGUCUCAAGCGUUGUUCGGAUUCAUUGGGCGUAAAGGGUGCGUAGGCGGCGCGGUAAGUCGGGUGUGAAAUCUCGGAGCUUAACUCCGAAACUGCAUUCGAUACUGCCGUGCUUGAGGACUGGAGAGGAGACUGGAAUUUACGGUGUAGCGGUGAAAUGCGUAGAGAUCCGGAGGAACACCAAUGGCGAAGGCAGGGUCCUGGCUGGCACCUGACGCUCAUGUGCGAAAGCCAGGGGAGCGAACGGG